rnacentral:rRNA from 1 species
ACAUGCAAGUCGAACGGUAGCACAGAGAGCUUGCUCUCGGGUGACGAGUGGCGGACGGGUGAGUAAUGUCUGGGAAACUGCCUGAUGGAGGGGGAUAACUACUGGAAACGGUAGCUAAUACCGCAUAACGUCGCAAGACCAAAGAGGGGGACCUUCGGGCCUCUUGCCAUCAGAUGUGCCCAGAUGGGAUUAGCUAGUAGGUGGGGUAACGGCUCACCUAGGCGACGAUCCCUAGCUGGUCUGAGAGGAUGACCAGCCACACUGGAACUGAGACACGGUCCAGACUCCUACGGGAGGCAGCAGUGGGGAAUAUUGCACAAUGGGCGCAAGCCUGAUGCAGCCAUGCCGCGUGUAUGAAGAAGGCCUUCGGGUUGUAAAGUACUUUCAGCGGGGAGGAAGGUGUUGUGGUUAAUAACCACAGCAAUUGACGUUACCCGCAGAAGAAGCACCGGCUAACUCCGUGCCAGCAGCCGCGGUAAUACGGAGGGUGCAAGCGUUAAUCGGAAUUACUGGGCGUAAAGCGCACGCAGGCGGUCUGUCAAGUCGGAUGUGAAAUCCCCGGGCUCAACCUGGGAACUGCAUUCGAAACUGGCAGGCUAGAGUCUUGUAGAGGGGGGUAGAAUUCCAGGUGUAGCGGUGAAAUGCGUAGAGAUCUGGAGGAAUACCGGUGGCGAAGGCGGCCCCCUGGACAAAGACUGACGCUCAGGUGCGAAAGCGUGGGGAGCAAACAGGAUUAGAUAC